rnacentral:rRNA from 1 species
GUAGCAAUACUUAGUGGCAGACGGGUGAGUAACAUGUAGGUAUCUACCCUUUGGCCUGGAAUAACACGAGGAAACUUGUGCUAAUACCGGAUAAGUCUUUACGGAGAAAGCUUUAUGCACCAUUGGAUGAGCCUGCACUUGAUUAGUUUGUUGGUGGGGUAAUGGCCUACCAAGACUGUGAUCAAUAGCUGAUUUGAGAGGAUGAUCAGCCACAUUGGGACUGAGACACGGCCCAAACUCCUACGGGAGGCAGCAGUGGGGAAUCUUGCACAAUGGAGGAAACUCUGAUGCAGCGAUGCCGCGUGAGUGAAGAAGGCCCUUGGGUUGUAAAGCUCUUUCGUCGGGGAAGAAAGUGACUGUACCCGAAUAAGAAGGUCCGGCUAACUUCGUGCCAGCAGCCGCGGUAAUACGAAGGGACCUAGCGUAGUUCGGAAUUACUGGGCUUAAAGAGUUCGUAGGUGGUUGAAAAAGUUGGUGGUGAAAUCCCAGAGCUUAACUCUGGAACUGCCAUCAAAACUUUUCAGCUAGAGUAUGAUAGAGGAAAGCAGAAUUUCUAGUGUAGAGGUGAAAUUCGUAGAUAUUAGAAAGAAUACCAAUUGCGAAGGCAGCUUUCUGGAUCAUUACUGACACUGAGGAACGAAAGCAUGGGUAGCGAAGAGGAUUAGAUACCCUCGUAGUCCAUGCCGUAAACGAUGUGUGUUAGACGUUGGAAAUUUAUUUUCAGUGUCGCAGCGAAAGCGAUAAACACACCGCCUGGGGAGUACGACCGCAAGGUUAAAACUCAAAUGAAUUGACGGGGACCCGCACAAGUAGUGGAGCAUGUGGUUUAAUUCGAAGAUACGCGCAGAACCUUACCAACACUUGACAUGUUCGUCGCGACUCUAAGAGAUUAGAGUUUUCGGUUCGGCCGGACGAAACACAGGUGCUGCAUGGCUGUCGUCAGCUCGUGUCGUGAGAUGUUGGGUUAAGUCCCGCAACGAGCGCAACCCUCACUUUUAGU